GACGAACGCUGGCGGCGUGCUUAACACAUGCAAGUCGAACGGAAAGGCCCCUUUGGGGGUACUCGAGUGGCGAACGGGUGAGUAACACGUGAGUAACCUGCCCUUGACUUCGGGAUAACUUCAGGAAACUGGGGCUAAUACCGGAUAGGAAUCCUUGCUGCAUGGUGGGGGUUGGAAAGCUUCGGCGGUUUUGGAUGGACUCGCGGCUUAUCAGCUUGUUGGUGGGGUAGUGGCUUACCAAGGCGUUGACGGGUAGCCGGCCUGAGAGGGCGACCGGCCACAUUGGGACUGAGAGACGGCCCAGACUCCUACGGGAGGCAGCAGUGGGGAAGAUUGCACAACGGGCGGAAGCCUGAUGCAGCAACGCCGCGUGCGGGAUGACGGCCUUCGGGUUGUAAACCGCUUUCAGCAGGGGCGAAGCUUGUGGUGACGGUACCUGCAGAAGAAGCACCGGCUAACUACGUG
rnacentral:rRNA from 1 species